AAGUUUGCGCAUUUUUCUCAUUUUCACAGAGCAAUGUAAGGCCUUUGCACCUUUCAUGCUUCUUGGAAAAUAUGUUUUCUGCCUGCAUUUUUCAAUUUUUUACAAGUUUGGACCCUUUCAAAGGACAUUUGUCUCCAGUAAAGCGGAUGCCAUUUUCUGUCUGAACGAGGUUGGAGUUUAACAGGGUUGAAAUCUUCAAGAAAAAUUCUUUCUAAUUUCAUGGAAAUCUUCAAGAGGAAGAUGGGUCGGAGAGGCAAGCAGUUAGCUGACCUGCUACAACAGACAACGAGCACUGAGCCAACAGCCAUUAGAAGCCUUGUCCUGAGAGGACUUAAAGUCAUUCUUAGGGACAAUGCAUCCAUGUUCUUUCAGAGCAAUUUGAAUCUUAAUGAGGGAGACUCCGGCGACAUUCCAGUGGCAUUACUCUGCUAUGAGGACAACAGCGCUGCAAGCCCAGCAUCACCACAACUAAACCCUUCAUGAGUGGGAAUCAUCCUAGAGGGCAGCCCUGUAAUGGACACACUCACCAACCUACCUCAAGCAAUGUGCCUCUUGUUUGGCUUUACCUCCACACUCCACCUGCACUACCUGAGGAGCAUGAACACCUUUACCUUCAUUCAGCAGGUCAUAAUAAAUUCAGGCCGAAGAGAGCUACCUCCAAAGACUCAAAAGCUGAAGAAUGAGCUUGCAGUGCAAGGCACAACUCUUCAAGCCCAUGUCUGGAUUAUUGCACAGUUAAAUUGCACUGACUGAAACAAAUAUUCAUGCUGUUGCUCAUUUUGUAUGUGAUUCCUCUUGUACAAGAUGCAUCUAGUAUUGUUUAUUUUACUAAAAUUAUUCCACAGAGGACAUAUUUUAGAAAGUUGCAGUUUUUUUUAAACCCAUUCUUGUCCUCACUGCAUGUUGAGCAAUAUUUGUUGUUUUGUUAUGUUUCAAUAAAAUGAAUUAAAUGUG